UGUUAUGUGGCUCUUACAAUUUUUCUGAUUGUUUGAUAGAAAAAGUGAUUUUUCUGUGCACUAUUUGAGUUUAUUCUGUUCCUUAAGGCUUGUGUGAUCUUCUGAAAAUGAGUGUUUUUAACAAUUAUUCACAACCAGCACAUGAAGACCACAUAAAGGAAGAGACUUUGAGUCACUCCUUAUAUAAUCCUGAUGUUUGGCUAUCAAUCUGGAUUAUUACGAGAUGGAUUUUACACUAUCUGGUUAAAAAUUUUCUACAACAAAUCAAUGGAUGGAUGUAUACAGUUCCAGGGCAGUACAUUUAUCUUUUUCACAAAUCUUACCAACAAUGCAUUAGGACUUAUAAGUAUAUAUCUAAAUUUUGGGUGAAUAUGUUUUUACUGGUUUAAUCCAAAAAUCCAAUGAGUCUCUGAGUUACAUUUUGAUGGUUUCUUAUUAUCAGUGAGAAGUUCCGACCAACUAUUUUUAAUUUGACAUUUUUUGGCUUUGGGCUACUUCUUUUUUAUUAGUAGAUUUUCAUUUCUCUACAAUAGCUUGCCAGAUCUGCCUCCCAGGUUUUUUCAAUGUGGAAAUAUUCAAUUUUAUAAAAUAUCCAUUAAAGAGUAUUUCAGUUAAGCUUUAUUUAUUUGAAGAAUUUUACUUCCUGUUGUUUAUGAUUAAUUUUCAUUUUUUAUAAUAGCUGGACUCCCACAUAUUCUUGAUUUUAGAUUUUAGUCUUUUUACAGGUAUUUUUGUGUAAAAUACAGUAUCUACUUAGAAUUUUAUUUUAUGCUUAUGGUUAACUUUCAUUUCCCUAUAAUAACUUAAUUUCUAUAUUUUCUUCAUUGUGGGAAUAAUAACAUCAUUCAUAACCAACAUGGAAUAUGACGUUAGCCACGCAUCAUUCAUUAAUUCUACAAAAUAUUUUAUUGUCUGCGUUUCUAUUUUCUUUGUGGUGUCAUUCUUCUAAUAUAUUUUUGGUUGUGUAAUCUCUUACACAGAAGUUUAGUUUUCGUGGAUUUAUUUUCAUGUAAUUUUUUUCAAAUCAUAUACAAUCCCUUUAUGGAUAUUUUUCUGUCAGUUUUGUCAGAUCAUAUGCCAUGAAUUACUAUAAAUUUAAGGAUUUUGUUGUUUUGGUUUCCCUGUGUUAAAUACUUUUAAGCACACUUCAAAAUCUGGCUAGUCCACAAGAUAUCAGUUCUGUGUAUCUUUCCUAGCAUUUUUUUCCAAUGAAUUUUCCUAAGUACAUAAUUUUUAAAUUUAAUUAAGUAGGAAAGGAAUCCUAUUGGUCUCUAAGUUACAUUUUUAUGGUUCAUUAUUAUCACAGACCAAAUCAGUAUAAUAGCUUGACUUCCAUAUUGUGUGCACUUGAUUAAGGCUCGCCCUGUAUAUAUUUGUUUGUGAGAAUAAUCUCUCCAUUUAUCAAUUCUAUUAAAUAUCCCUUUGAAUAUAUUGCUAUGCUUUAUUUGUUUGGUAAAAUUACUUGGAACUUGGACUUUAGAAUAAUUUUAUUUAAUGCUGUUUAUGGUUAAUUUUUAUUUUUUUAUAAUAGAUUAACUCCCAUAUUUUCUUCAUUGUGGCACAGAAUAUCUAGCUACGCGUAGCUUGCGUAGU